rnacentral:rRNA from 1 species
UACGUAGGGGGCAAGCGUUGUCCGGAAUCAUUGGGCGUAAAGAGCGUGUAGGCGGCCAGAAAAGUCCGCUGUGAAAACUCGAGGCUCAACUUCGAGCUGUCGGUGGAAACUUUCUGGCUAGAGUCCGGAAGAGGAGAAUGGAAUUCCUGGUGUAGCGGUGAAAUGCGCAGAUAUCAGGAAGAACACCCAGUGGCGAAGGCGGAUCUCA